rnacentral:rRNA from 1 species
ACUCCUACGGGAGGCAGCAGUGGGGAAUAUUGCACAAUGGGCGCAAGCCUGAUGCAGCCAUGCCGCGUGUAUGAAGAAGGCCUUCGGGUUGUAAAGUACUUUCAGCAGUGAGGAAGGUGGAGUCGUUAAUAGCGGCCUCAUUUGACGUUAGCUGCAGAAGAAGCACCGGACCNAANUUCCGCCAGCAGCCGCGGUAAUACGGAGGGUGCGAGCGUUAAUCGGAAUUACUGGGCGUAAAGCGCAUGCAGGUGGUUUGUUAAGUCAGAUGUGAAAGCCCGGGGCUCAACCUCGGAAUUGCAUUUGAAACUGGCAGACUAGAGUACUGUAGAGGGGGGUAGAAUUUCAGGU